GAUGAAGAACGUAGCGAAAUGCGAUAAGUAAUGUGAAUUGCAGAAUUCAGUGAAUCAUCGAAUCUUUGAACGCACAUUGCGCCCGCCAGUAUUCCGGCGGGCAUGCCUGUUCGAGCGUCAUUUCAACCAUCAAGCCCCCGGCUUGUGUUGGGGACCUGCGGCUGCCGCAGGCCCUGAAAAGCAGUGGCGGGCUCGCUGUCACACCGAGCGUAGUAGCAUACAUCUCGCUCUGGGCGUGCUGCGGGUUCCGGCCGUUAAACCACCUUCAUAACCCAAGGUUGACCUCGGAUCAGGUAGGAAGACCCGCUGAACUUAAGCAUAUCAAUAAGCGGAGGA
rnacentral:misc_RNA from 1 species